rnacentral:lncRNA from 1 species
GGGGAAGACGGGAGAAGAGGAAGGGACAGGACAUUCCACUUAGACAAUCAAACUUGAAGUGUUUACGGUCUAGGGUAGAUGUCCAACAGGGAGCAGGGACUAUCAAUCUGGAACUCAGAGACGAAACCAUGGAGUGACAGUCCUGGCCGACCAACCCUGCCCUCAGCUGGGCCUCACCAGCCAACCACCAUGAGCACACAGAAUGGCAGUGACACACAAGACAGCCCAGCACUGAGUGACUCAGUCAUUACAACCUAUCACCUAAACCCAACAAAGAUUGUGACUUGGUUCACCAAACCAAUAGGAAGUCAACAUUAUUCGGGAGGACAGCUUUCACCACAAGUUAAAACAGAGCAACAGUGUAACAGAGAGAGCACUGGAGACCAAAUGAGGAAAUGACACCUGCCUUCUAGAAGUUCAAUUUCUGCUAAUAACCAGUUUUCAGGUGUUCUCCAAACAAUCCAAAGAAGUUUCCGGGAUCCUGGCAAGGCUGCCUUCCUGGGGCAGAGCCAUGGUUUCCUCCACCCGUGUGUCAGGACAUAAUUUCACAAACCGGGGUAUCUACUUCACCAUUAACAAUGCAGUCAUCUUGAUUUCCAGAACUUACUGACUCAUCCACAGUCCUCAGGGGCCCCAACAGCUCUACAAAACCUUCUGGAAAAAUGCCUCUUCGGCCCUCUAACUCCCCUUCAAACCAGCCUGGUUCAGGAACUCCAAUAAUGGUGAUCACAUCCCCUUCCCUGAAGUCCAGCUCUUCAUCCAGCUGAGCAGAAAGCCCCAUUAGGGCCCGGGCUUGUCCCAUGGAAUAUUCCGGAAUCUGAAACAGGGCGCUCUGGGAGUGCCACUGCCGGCUCUGUGAGGAGAGGCAGAGCUCGCGGACACAUGAAGAUGGGAAGAAGCCCCGUGCGCCCCAGCAGCUUCGGCCCUGCAGCCAGCCUGCAGUGGGAAUGCCAUCGAGAAUCACCAGGUCACCUAAAGAAAAGAGGAGCAGAGAUGGUGACCUCAGUCAUCACCCAGCAGAACAUUAUCACGACUAAUAGUGCAACCUCUCAUUUUAAACAGCUACCAAAUUCAAGGAAAUACACCUAGAGCUUUAGGAGCAUGAACAAUUUUGACAAUUUAUUGAAUUGGAGCAGUUCUAUAAACCUGUAGUUUUCAGAGUGUUCCAUGGAACCCUACAGGUGGGUCUCCAAGAUCCUAGCAGAGAAUCUGUGAGGUCAAAACCAUUCUCAUAAUAACACUAAGACUUUAUCUACAUAUUUUACUCUGCUGACUUUUGUAAUCUCUGUGAAAAAGCAAUGGUGAUUAAAACUGCUGGCCAGCUAGGUGCUGUGGCUUACACCAGAAAUCCGAGCACUUUGGGAGGCCAAGGCAGGAGGAUCGCUUGAGACCAGGAGUUCAAAACCAGCCUGGGCAACAUGUCAAGACCUUGUCUCUACAAUAAAUUUAAAAAUUAGCUGUGCACUGUGGCUCAUGCCUGUAGUCCCAGCUAUUCAGGAGGCUGAGGUGGGAGGAUAGCUUGAACCCAGGAGGUCAAGGCUGCAGUAAGCUGUGAUUUCACCACUACGCUCCAGUCUGGGUGACAGAGCAACACUUGUCUCAAAAAUAAAAAUAAAAUGGCUGGGCGCGAUGGCUCAUGCCUGUGAUCCCAGCACUUUGGGAGGCCAAGGCAGGCGGAUCACUUGAGGUCAGGAGUUCGAGAGCAGCCUGGUCAACAUGGUGAAACACCAUCUCUACUAAAAAUACAAAAAUUAGCUGAGCAUGGUGGCACGUGCCUGUAGUCCCAGCUAUUCAGGAGGCUGAGGCAGAAAUUAAACUCAGGAGGCAGAGGUCGCAGUGAGCCGAGAUCGCACCACUGCACUCCAGCUUGGGCAACAGAGCAAGACUCCAUCUCAAAAAAAUAAUAAAUUAAUUAAAAACUGCUGGCAAUUCAUAAGCAAAGGCAGUAGCCACAAAUUACAUGAAUAGUCACUGUAUGGUCAUCGUAUUCUUCACAACCAUGUACUCACAGUUUUUAAAAAAGCCAUUUUCAGUUAAGAAGCAAUACAAAUUAUGCACUGUGCUAAAUCUCAACCCUUAAGAACAAUUCUUUUGUAAUAUUCUGUGUGACAAUAUAGGAAUUACACAUAAAGCACUUUUACUGCUGAGGAGAAGCACGAGUAACUGAGUUAUAUGCCUGAACCGUCUGUUUAUUUUCACAUAACACCAUUUUAUGUGCAAGAAUGAAUAACAGACAACUAUGUUUAUUCAGACUUAGAUAUCUGGCAGAUGUUUCCUCCAAAAUGAAAGUGAGUCUGAAACAUCAAGGAGAACAAAUGACAGUAUUUGUUGCCAAUGAUAAAAUUCCAACUUCCAAGAGAAAAUGAGAAUUUUGGAAAACUUGUAUCUACUACCAUGGGCUUGGCAGCUUUCCCAUACUUAAAGAUUCUUCUGAUGAGAUAGUAACAAAUAUGAUUUUUUCACAUUGUAUGUUGAAAUGGUCAACAUUUGGAAUAACUGAGUAGCUAAUUGAAUCAAUAUUUCCUAAAUGACAAAUGCAUGCUGGUAUAAAAUCAUUCAUGGCUAAAAGAUUCACACUCCAAAAGCAAGAUAGAUUAAUGAAUUUUAGUGUAAUAUUAUGAAAGUUCACCGACGUAGUUUCAGAUCCCACACUGCAAUUAACUCGUAAGAAAUUACCAAUCGUUGAAUUUUGGUGCAGUGUCAACGAUGAAUAUUUGCAAUUAUUUGAAAAGACUAUUAAAAUACCUUUUCCUGUCUCCCAUUGCAUAUUUGUGUAAGGCUGGAUUUUCUUCACAUAAUUCCAUGAAAACAACACAUUGCAACAGAUUGAAUACAGAUGCAAAUAGAAUCUGGUUUUCUUUUAGUAAGUUGAACAUUAAAAAUAUUUACGAACAUGUAAAGCAAUGUCAUUCCUCAUUAAUUUUUUUUUGUUUGGAAAGCUAUACUUAUUUUUCAUAAAAAUAUGUUAUUUACGUAAAUAUGUAAUGGGUUUUUAAUAGAC